rnacentral:rRNA from 1 species
GACGAACGCUGGCGGCGCGCCUUACGCAUGCAAGUCGAACGGAGUACUCCUUCGGGAGUGCUCAGUGGCAGACGGGUGAGUAACACGUAGGUGACCUAUCCGAGAGUGGGGAAUAACUCUCCGAAAGGAGAGCUAAUACCGCAUGAAGUCGCCCGGUAAUUCAGGGUGACCAAAGCAGCAAUGCGCUUUCGGAGGGGCCUGCGGCCCAUCAGCUAGUUGGGGGGUAACGGCCUACCAAGGCAACGACGGGUAGCUGGUCUGAGAGGACGACCAGCCACAAGGGGACUGAGACACGGCCCCUACUACCUC